CUGACCUUAGCUCAGUUGGUAGAGCGAAGGACUGUUGUGGAAAAUUGAAGGAUAAUCCUUAGGUCACUGGUUCGAAUCCGGCAGGUCGGA